AACAAACGCUGGCGGCGUGCCUAAUACAUGCAAGUCGAACGGGGAAAGCUUUCGGGUGAGUACUAGUGGCGCACGGGUGAGUAACGCGUGGAUAAUCUGCCUUAGAGUGGGGGAUAACUAGUCGAAAGAUUAGCUAAUACCGCAUUAGACCACAAGAACUGCGGUUCAAGGGGUCAAAGGUUUUUCGCUCUAAGAUGAGUCCGCGUAAGAUUAGCUAGUUGGUAGGGUAACGGCCUACCAAGGCGACGAUCUUUAACUGGUCUGAGAGGAUGAUCAGUCACACUGGAACUGAGACACGGUCCAGACUCCUACGGGAGGAAGCAGUAAGGAAUAUUGCACAAUGGAGGAAACUCUGAUGCAGCGACGCCGCGUGAGGGAUGAAGGCCUUCGGGUCGUAAAGCUCUGUCGCAGGGGAAUAACACAAUGAAUGUACCCUGUAAGAAAGGAUCGGCUAACUUCGUGCCAGCCGCCGCCGUAACAC
rnacentral:rRNA from 1 species